GCAGUCGAACGAACUCUGGUAUUGAUUGGUGCUUGCAUCAUGAUUUACAUUUGAGUGAGUGGCGAACUGGUGAGUAACACGUGGGAAACCUGCCCAGAAGCGGGGGAUAACACCUGGAAACAGAUGCUAAUACCGCAUAACAACUUGGACCGCAUGGUCCGAGUUUGAAAGAUGGCUUCGGCUAUCACUUUUGGAUGGUCCCGCGGCGUAUUAGCUAGAUGGUGAGGUAACGGCUCACCAUGGCAAUGAUACGUAGCCGACCUGAGAGGGUAAUCGGCCACAUUGGGACUGAGACACGGCCCAAACUCCUACGGGAGGCAGCAGUAGGGAAUCUUCCACAAUGGACGAAAGUCUGAUGGAGCAACGCCGCGUGAGUGAAGAAGGGUUUCGGCUCGUAAAACUCUGUUGUUAAAGAAGAACAUAUCUGAGAGUAACUGUUCAGGUAUUGACGGUAUUUAACCAGAAAGCCACGGCUAACUACGUGCCAGCAGCCGCGGUAAUACGUAGGUGGCAAGCGUUGUCCGGAUUUAUUGGGCGUAAAGCGAGCGCAGGCGGUUUUUUAAGUCUGAUGUGAAAGCCUUCGGCUCAACCGAAGAAGUGCAUCGGAAACUGGGAAACUUGAGUGCAGAAGAGGACAGUGGAACUCCAUGUGUAGCGGUGAAAUGCGUAGAUAUAUGGAAGAACACCAGUGGCGAAGGCGGCUGUCUGGUCUGUAACUGACGCUGAGGCUCGAAAGUAUGGGUAGCAAACAGGAUUAGAUACCCUGGUAGUCCAUACCGUAAACGAUGAAUGCUAAGUGUUGGAGGGUUUCCGCCCUUCAGUGCUGCAGCUAACGCAUUAAGCAUUCCGCCUGGGGAGUACGGCCGCAAGGCUGAAACUCAAAGGAAUUGACGGGGGCCCGCACAAGCGGUGGAGCAUGUGGUUUAAUUCGAAGCUACGCGAAGAACCUUACCAGGUCUUGACAUACUAUGCAAAUCUAAGAGAUUAGACGUUCCCUUCGGGGACAUGGAUACAGGUGGUGCAUGGUUGUCGUCAGCUCGUGUCGUGAGAUGUUGGGUUAAGUCCCGCAACGAGCGCAACCCUUAUUAUCAGUUGCCAGCAUUAAGUUGGGCACUCUGGUGAGACUGCCGGUGACAAACCGGAGGAAGGUGGGGAUGACGUCAAAUCAUCAUGCCCCUUAUGACCUGGGCUACACACGUGCUACAAUGGAUGGUACAACGAGUUGCGAACUCGCGAGAGUAAGCUAAUCUCUUAAAGCCAUUCUCAGUUCGGAUUGUAGGCUGCAACUCGCCUACAUGAAGUCGGAAUCGCUAGUAAUCGCGGAUCAGCAUGCCGCGGUGAAUACGUUCCCGGGCCUUGUACACACCGCCCGUCACACCAUGAGAGUUUGUAACACCCAAAGUCGGUGGGGUAACCUUUUAGGAACCAGCCGCCUAAGGUGGGACAGAUGAUUAGGG
rnacentral:rRNA from 2 species